rfam:Rattus norvegicus chromosome 8, whole genome shotgun sequence.
GAGAGAGAGAGAGAUCUGGCUGUGAUAUCCAGUACCCCACUGAGCACAGGCACAGGAUGAGCUGGCCAAUGAGGCAGGUGUCUCCCUCCUCCCUCACCACUCCCCGAGUGCUCAGUGAAGAAGAUAGCUUUCCUCCACAGAAGAUUCUUCUUUCGUCAAGAGUCUAUAAACAUCCACACACCACUGGGACCUCAGAGCAAGCUCCCAAAGUCAACAUAGGAGAAGCAGUAGCAUUUCUUUUUUUUUUUAAUUUUAUUUACUUUAUGUAUAUGAGUACACUGUAGCUGU